AACAGGAUUAGAUACCCUGGUAGUCCACGCCGUAAACGAUGUCGACUUGGAGGUUGUUCCCUUGAGGAGUGGCUUCCGGAGCUAACGCGUUAAGUCGACCGCCUGGGGAGUACGGCCGCAAGGUUAAAACUCAAAUGAAUUGACGGGGGCCCGCACAAGCGGUGGAGCAUGUGGUUUAAUUCGAUGCAACGCGAAGAACCUUACCUACUCUUGACAUCCACGGAAUUCGGCAGAGAUGCCUUAGUGCCUUCGGGAACCGUGAGACAGGUGCUGCAUGGCUGUCGUCAGCUCGUGUUGUGAAAUGUUGGGUUAAGUCCCGCAACGAGCGCAACCCUUAUCCUUUGUUGCCAGCGAUUCGGUCGGGAACUCAAAGGAGACUGCCGGUGAUAAACCGGAGGAAGGUGGGGAUGACGUCAAGUCAUCAUGGCCCUUACGAGUAGGGCUACACACGUGCUACAAUGGCGCAUACAAAGAGAAGCGACCUCGCGAGAGCAAGCGGACCUCAUAAAGUGCGUCGUAGUCCGGAUCGGAGUCUGCAACUCGACUCCGUGAAGUCGGAAUCGCUAGUAAUCGUGGAUCAGAAUGCCACGGUGAAUUACGUUCCCGGGCCUUGUACACACCGCCCGUCACACCAUGGGAGUGGGGUUGCAAAAGAAGUAGGUAGCUUAACCUUCGGGAGGGCGCUUACCACUUUGUGAUUCAUGACUGGGGUGAAAGUCGUAACAAGG
rnacentral:rRNA from 1 species